rnacentral:rRNA from 1 species
CUUUAUUGGAGAGUUUGAUCCUGGCUCAGGAUGAACGCUGGCGGCGUGCCUAAUACAUGCAAGUCGAGCGAACCGAUUAAGAGCUUGCUCUUAAGAAGUUAGCGGCGGACGGGUGAGUAACACGUAGGUAACCUGCCUAUAAGACUGGGAUAACUCCGGGAAACCGGGGCUAAUACCGGAUAACAUUUUGCACCGCAUGGUGCAAAAUUGAAAGGCGGCUUCGGCUGUCACUUAUAGAUGGACCUGCGGCGCAUUAGCUAGUUGGUGAGGUAACGGCUCACCAAG